GACGAACGCUGGCGGCGUGCUUAACACAUGCAAGUCGAACGGAAAGGCCCUGCUUUUGUGGGGUGCUCGAGUGGCGAACGGGUGAGUAACACGUGAGUAACCUGCCCUUGACUUUGGGAUAACUUCAGGAAACUGGGGCUAAUACCGGAUAGGAGCUCCUGCUGCAUGGUGGGGGUUGGAAAGUUUCGGCGGUUGGGGAUGGACUCGCGGCUUAUCAGCUUGUUGGUUGGGUAGUGGCUUACCAAGGCUUUGACGGGUAGCCGGCCUGAGAGGGUGACCGGCCACACUGGGCCUGGGCUACGGCCCAGACUCCUACGGGAGGCAGCAGUGGGGAAUAUUGCACUAUGGGCGGAAGCCUGAUGCAGCAACGCCGCGUGCGGGAUGACGGCCUUCGGGUUGUAAACCGCUUUCGCCUGUGCCGAAGCGUGAGUGACGGUACUGGGUAAAGAAGCACCGGCUAACUACGUG
rnacentral:rRNA from 1 species